GUGUGUUUGUGUCUGUAGAACUCAAUAUUACAAUCAAUGAGUCAUUGCUUAGAAAUGAGUGGUAUGUGACAAAUAGUCUUCUAAAAAAUUAAGAGCUAAUAGUUUUGAAGUGUUUGUUCCACACAUUGUGUUAAAUGGUUUACAUGUUUCACCUCAUUUAAAUGUUACUGCAAUAAACUUAAUAAAAGUUAAGUAUACCAGAUGUUCUGUAUUACAAGCCAAUGCUCAUUCUGUUACAAGUGCCUUCCCACUUUAAUGUUGGGGUGUUCCUAUAAGUAGUAAAUCCUGUGAAGUGGCAGUGACGAUGAUGACAAGGAUUGAAUGCUUUCGAUCUGCCAUACUCUGUUUGAUGUGCCAAAUGUGAAUUAUGACAUUUAGUUUCACAACAAUCCUAUAAUAUAAAGCUUAUUGUUUUAUACAUUUUAUAGCAGAGGAAAAAGAUGCACAGAGCCAGUGUGUAUAACAGUUGAGAUGGAAUUCCAGGAAAAGGUGGUUUGGUUCUGGAUUCUGAGCCUUUUACCAAAACAGUUUGCUACAGAACCACCCAGCAGUUAGGAGCAUUGAUCAGAAUUUCACCUCUUUGCUUUACUAGCUAUGCAACUUGGAGCAACCGACAUAAAGACUGUAAACAUGAUUUUUUUCAUCUGUAAGAUGGAUAUAAAUAAGUAUACCUAACUUCUAUUAAGCUAUUGUCUUUCUCCUACUGGUCUGCAAUUUCACCUUACAAAGGCUAGUGAUAAGAGAUUUCAAACUCCAUCUUCCAGUAAAUGUGAGGCUUGUAAUUAAAUUGCUUAGGUGAUCUCUUUUUGCGCUUUUCUCUCUGUAAUGCUGAUUUAAUCAUCUUCAUGCAGUGUCCUACUGGCAGGUUUCCCAUGUGUACUUGGAAGUGGAAGGUUAUAUGCUAAUGGAUAUUCAUUGCAUAACGAGGGCAUGGGGAUGUUAUUUCUCAGGGCAGAGCUCAUUACUCAGGUUAUUGGCUCCUGUUUGUACCCAGUUGUUGCCCAUCUUACAUGAUUAUGCAAAGGCGGAAUGAAACGUAGGCAGUCUCUUCAUUUGUGCCAGUUGGGGUUCAUGGGCUUUGUUUUAUUUCCUAUUCCAGCAAGUAUCUUUCACCUCCCAGUAGUCCUCGAUCUUAUGGUUGAGUAGACCCUUUCCAUUCACAGAUUUAACAUUUGUGAUGUUGGUGACUCAUGAGAAACCAUGCAGUACUUGUAAAGUGUGUUGAGUCCCAUGUUUUGGUCCUAUCUGAUCUCAAUCAGUGUGAGGGAGAAAAAUAUGAGACCAUGAGCGAGCUUUGUCAGUCACUCUAGGUCUCAGCAUCACUGUGACUGUUUUUCUCAGCUUGUUGUCAGGUACACAGAAUCCUUCAUUAGGGGUCUGCAGGGGUUAUUCAAAUGUGUCAUUACAUUCAACAGAUUGAUGUGAGAAACUAUAUGCAAUAGUGACACUUAUGCAUGUGGGAAUUUGCAAAAGUCUUUUGGUAUACCUCUUGUGCGUGUCACAUGUCUAUGGCAUCUGUUAGAAUAAACAGACUGCAGUUUUGCCUUCCUGUGUUGGGGAUGAUCUUAAACUAUACUGCUUUUAAAACAAGGUUCUGGGAAACCAAUACCUUGCAAACUAAAUUAAGAUUAUUUUCCUGCCUGGGCAUUAAAAUGGAGAUCAGGUGGUCGGGUCAGCACAAUUCAACAGUAUUAAGAUAUCUCUCUCUAAAAUCUGAAAGGAGUUUUACAGCUUGAGAAGUUGAAAACUAAGGCAUUCAGAAGAAGAAAUCACGGUGUGUGUGAGCCAGUUUGAAUCACAUUUGUGCAGAUAAAAGUUAAGGAAGAAAACUUCAGGAGCGCCAACUUUGUGUUGGGCAUUAAGCUUCGGACUGUUUCAUGUUAUCUCAGCGAAUCCUUCUGUUUUCUAAAACCUAACCGCCUUAUUGUAUUCUAUUGUGGUAACAACACUUGACCUGAGGUGCACCCUCUGAGCAUCCUUAGCCGCCCAAUACCGGAUGCUUAACUCCCAGCACAAAACUGUACAGCAGGGCUCUAGAACUGAUGCAUUUUUGCAUAUCUGAAACUUUAUACCUUGUGAACAGCAACUACUUGUUUUUUAAGGCUAUCUUAAAGAAAAGUUAAAAUGGAUUGGGAGGAAAGACUGUGGUGGGCCAUGUAAGCAUAUUAAUUCAUAAAAUUUAACACUUGCUAGGGCCCUGAUUUCAAUGUAGAAUUUUAGUUAAAAUAGCAUCCUAUUGAGUCUUCAUUUCUAAGUUAUAGAACCAAAUUACUGGUAAACCUAAUGUUCUAUUUGGUCAAUUUCUUUUUAAAAAAGAUUUAUUUAUUUGAAAUGUGUGUGUUUGUGGAGAGAGAGAGAGAGAGAGAUUGGGAUUCUUCUGUCCACUGGUUUGCUCCCCAGAUGGCCAAGGCUGGGAGCCCGGACAUCCAUCCCAUCUCCAACUGGAGUGGCAGGGGCCCAUGUGCUUAAACCAUCUUCUGCUGCUUUCCCAGGCGCAUUAGCAGGGAGCAGGAUCAGAAGUGGAGCAGCUGGAGUUCAAACUGGUUUCUUCAGUGGAUGUCGAGGUGGCAGGUGGCAGCUUAAUCCACAGAGCCAUAAUGCCAGCCACUAUUUAGUCCGUUUGUACCCCAAAGUUUUACCAGCAUCUUGUGUCUCAAUAUUUGAAUGUAGUUAAAAGUUAUAAAUAAAAUUACAGAUUUAACUAAUUUAAAAUCAUUUACUGUUUCUCUCACACUUCUGUAGUUAUAGCAGUUUCCCUACUUCAUUUCUGGGAGUAGGCAAAUAACUUGUCUGGCCAAGUUCUCGGAUGCUGGCAGAUCUGACACAACGAAAGCCAUUGGGGGUGACCAGACAGCUUGAACUUCUUGCUGUCAGAACAAGACAGGGCUUCCCUGCUGGUCAGAAAGAAGACUGAAUGACACAGAGCUAACCUAUUACAGCCAGGUCUAAAGCAGCACGCAGGACACUCCCAGUGUGAGAGCUAACCCGGGUGAAAUGAACCUCUCAUAGAGCUGUGAGAAUGAAGGGUAGUUGUUUUAGGGCACGAUGUUCAGAGGAGCUUUGCAAUAAAGCAAUAGUGGCAGUGGCUAGUGGAUACAUACACUACUAAAGCAAAAAAAAAAAAUACAAGAGAUGGAGAAACUAUUUGUCUGGCACACCCUCUUGCUAAUUUUUAAAAUUUUGUUAUAGACUAAAUCAUGGGCUUCCCCAAUUUCAUAUGCUGAAUUCCUAUAUUGAAUACAUACAUUGAAUGUGAUUUACAUUUGGAGACAAGGCCUUUAGGGAAAUAAUUAAGAUUGAAUGAAGUGAAAAGGGUGGGGUCCUGAUCUGAUGGGGUGUGGAAGAGGAGGAGGAGACACAGAGGUUUUUCACUCUCCAUGUGCACACAGAGAAGAGGCCAUGUGAAGCCGCAGGAAGAAGGCAGUUGUCUCUAAGCCAGGAAGAGCAGCCUCACCAGAAACCAACCCUGAUGGGAAUUUGCUUUUGGGCUGGAAGCCUCCAAAGCUGCUGAGAAAAUACUUCUCUGUUGUCUAAGCCACCCAGUCUCUGCGGUUUUGUUGUAGUAGUCUGAGCAGACUCAUACACCCUUCUACAAAUCCCUAGUAAAUGGGGCCCGAACAGUGUCCUCAAACUUGAAUGGUUGACAUUGACAGCUCCUCCUUGAUGAUAAAAUAAAACAUCCAGACUUUGAUAUCUGCUUGGGAAGGCCUAAAGGGAUGGGUGAGUGGAAGGGAGAAAGUGUAUUGCAGUUCUAGUUUCUCUUCAGAGAGGCCAAGAUGCCGCUAACAUGAUGCCACUUUGGAGGCUGGGACCUUGGGUAAUAAUAGGCUUAGAUGAGGUCACAAGGGCAGAGCACUCAGAUGGGGCAAAUUCUCUUAGAGACAUCAGAAAGCUCUCACCCUCCUCUCCUCUCUCUCUCUCCUUUCUCUCUCUCCCUCUCCCUCCUCCCUGUUCUCUCUCCUCUCUCUCCAUUUCUCUCUCUCUUCCCAUGUCCCAUUCCCCCUCUCCCUCUGUGUCCAUUACAUGAGAAAACAGAGUAAAGGCAGCUACUAUGCGUCAGAAGUGAGCCCUCUCCAAUGCCUGAUACCAGACCCGGAGUUGGGAGAACUAUGAGAGAGAAUUUCUGUCGUUUAAGCCAUCCGGUGUAUGAAGCCUUGUUGUCGCAGCCCAAGCAGGAGUGAGAACAGCUGUUCACUGAAUGUCCUGAGACAACAGACUAGAAGAGGAAAUAAAUUAGAAUCCAAAUAUUUCUCCGAAUUGUGAAGGUCAUCAGGAGUAUGCUCCCUUUCAUGUUAAUAUGGAUUUAUUAUUGAAAACACUUGAAGUUUUCUUUUCACAUGGCAUAUCAUGUGGUCUUCUUGAGGUAUCCUCCUUCACUCAUCAUCCGUAAGCUUCUUGAACGUCCUGUGCACAUCCUUCCUCCCCAUGGAUCCAAUUCAGUAGGUCAACAAAUCAACCCAUAUUUACUGAGCUCCAGUUAUGUGCAAGACACAGAAAGGGAAAGAGUGAACAAGAGGGCAAGGAAGGAGAAAAUAAUCAGGUACAUUUCCUCUACUGCCACUCCCUCUGGGGCAGAGUGUGAGCUUCCUCCCUCUGAUGAGAAGGUCCUUCCUUCUAAGGAAUGGGAGUUGAUCAACACAUAUGUCACUGGUCCUCACUGAAUCUGGAGGAGAGAGCUGGCAGAUGCCUUUAUGUUACAGAUGGCUCUUCAUGUGGCUGCAUUUCUCUGUUCACCACCUGGAAACUUGCAGUGGACACAGCGGAUCUGUCAGCAAGACAGUUGGCAGGGGGGAUGAUGUACUUUCCUUUAUGAAGCUUUAUUUAAUGAUCUGUUUGGUUAACGUGUACCAAGGUGAUGCUCUAGUCAGCCAAGCUGAGGAGAUUCUGCUUUGCAUGUAGGAAGGUAAGCAGCAGGAUAAUCUGAGUUGCAGGAAGUGUGAAUAGAAGUGAGUGAUCCAUUGACCCAGGAGGUCUGAGAGACAUAUCUUCAUUGGAAGAAUGCAAUGUUAAAAAAUAGUUGUCCUAGAGACAGAAAAUUCUCUGGAUUUCUAGAGACUAAGGAAGUCAUUCUACUCUUACUUAGUCCAUGAGCUGUUCUAAAACUCAUUGUAAAUGCAUUAUAGUGGUUGCUAUAUGUCUGUAUCUAUAUCUAUGCAUUUUUUUCAUGUAACAAGGUCACUUUUACAGGUUUAUAAAGUAGAUUCCUAAUGAAAACAGAUAUAUUUUCCUAGUGUCAGGACUUUAAAAAAGUUAAUAGGUAAGAAAAUGAAAUGAAGCACUUAUUGAUUGGUUAAGUAGCAAGUGCAAUUUUAAAGCUACAAUAUUAUUUUAUUUCUUUUAAGAUAACAGUGGAGACUUUGAUGCAUCCAUGUUAUGAAGUCGUGUUGCUAUGAACAAGAGGUGAAUAUUUUACUCAGGCCUGAAUUUUCAGCUAGUGGUUUUCAUUUUCUUGCAUUUUUAUUUUCUUGGAUUUAAAAGUUGUUAUCAUGUCUGAAUCAGGUUGGGGGAGCCAAGAAAAUUAACCAGAGUUCAGUGAAAUAUAUAAAAAACCAUAACUCAAGCUAGACUAUGGACAAUUCACCCUUAAAACAGGUGUAAAGGAGGUAGGACCACUUUCUUUGGUCACUGCUCUGUUCCCAGUGUGAUAUUUGAAUAUCACAUUGAAAGACUGGUACCAUUACAGUAGGUAAAAAUGGGGAUACAAGUAUUUUAGCCAGAUAGACAAACAGUAAAAACAGAAUAUGAAAACAGUAACUAAUUCUGUUUCCUUAGAAAGUAAUGUAUAAAGAGAGAGGCAGUGAGAGGUAACAUUAGGCAGUGCUGGCACACCGGGUUCUAGCCGGAUUCUGUCCCGGUUGCCCCUCUUUCAGGCCAGCUCUCUGCUGUGGUCAGGGAGUGCAGUGGAGGAUGGCCCAGGUACUUGGGCCCUGCACCCCAUGGGAGACCAGAAGCACCUGGCUCCUGCCAUCGGAUCAGCACGGUGUGCCGGCUGCAGCGUGCCGGCUGCGGUGGCCAUUGGAGGGUGAACCAACGGCAAAGGAAGACCUUUCUCUCUGUCUCUCUCUCUCACUGUCCACUCUGCCUGUCAAAAAAAAAAAAAAAAAAAGAGAGAAUCAUGGCUAAAUUACAAGAAAUUAGGGGUUAUUGAAAUGACAGGACAAUGCUGAUGAAUUCUGCUGUUAAUGAUAUCAACACUGGUGAUUUUUAGGCAUUUUCUUGGAAGCUAUUAAAAUUUUUCUGGACAUAAAUACAUCUGCCUUUACAUUAAAAUUAAACCUGUCAUGAUCAGAGCUUCUGUUCAAGCUUUCAAUUCUUCUACAAGUUCACUCCUUCAUUGGAAACGUUGAAUGUUUCAGUUUAAUUGCCAGACACUCACUUUAGAGCUUAGUAAAUUAAUUUGCUUAAAGAUUUUGUUGGUAAAUAAAAGGUGUAAGAUUUAAGAUCAAGUUUAUUUAACAUCAACAUUCAUUUAACAUCAGCAUUCAUGGUCUUAACUAUUACAUGGUACAGACAAUAAACCAGAGGGAGAGCAAUAAAGAUGGCAUACCCAUAUUGGUAAAUCAAUUCUUUACCAGUGCAUGAUAUAACAAAUGGGCUUCAGCCAUGAGAUUCUUUUUAAGGACACCAUAGAACCUCCCUGUCAGUCAACCUAGAAAGCUCAAAAUCACUGGUGCAUGUUAAAAUAGUCUUACCCUUAGUUUUACUCAACACCCCUGAUUUGAUCGUGAUGGCAUCUAAAAUUUGACACAGUAUUUAGGGAAAUAAGUUAGUAUUGUAGGAGCUCAAUGAUCACAUCAUUUCUACCAAGGCAGGUGGCUGUCAUUUAUAGCAGAAAUGGACUGGGAUGACAUGAUGAAAAGUCAUGCUUUUGAAGAAAAAUUGAAGCAUGAAUUAACAUCUAAUUUUAUAAUUGUUGGAAUCAAACUGCUUAUGACCUAAAAUUGCCCAGAAAUUUCCAUUACCUCAAAAUGGAAAUAGAUCUCAUAAUAUUGAUGAUAUUUUCCGUUUUAGGCAAAGAGAAAAAUUACUUCCACUGAAUAAAAUUUAACUUGGGAAUGGGAGGUAAAAAUACUUCUAGAACUGCAUUUGAUUAUAUUCUAUACCUUGUAUGAUCAAUGAACUGGUCACAUCAAUGUGUUAGAAAUUGAUAUGACCACAGAAUCUAGGCACUGAUUGAAAAUUAAGGAAAACACAAAAUGGGGGGUGGGAAUCUUAGCUCAGUCCACAUAGUAGCAUAUGUAUUCAUAUUCUUCCAUUUUGGUUGUUUGGUGGAAUCAAUAUAAUAUCUGGGGUUCUGAGAGACAAAAUAUAUAGUGUGACCCAAAGUUUGUGUUAUUUCCAUGUAAACAUGACACCAAAUUUUGCUUAUCAUUUUUAAAAUAAUAUUUUACAUUUUAAAAUAAUGAGAAUUUGAUUUAUCUAGGGAAAAACAACUUCUCAUUUUCAUUUUUCACUUGUUUUGGUGUCCAAAUUACCAGGAAUGUUGAUAAGCAAAUAUCAUUUCUGCUGUAUCUUGCCUAUGCGUGCUUAGACAAAAAUCCUGUUUUUUUCAUUUUAUGUUUUCACAGUAUUAGACUAUCACUGAUAAAAUUCCAUUGACAUGUUUUAUAUGUGGGUAACUUUAAGAUGGUGUUCACUAUAGAGUUUUGCUAUAAAAUAUGUGAAUAAAUGCAUUCUGAUUUAUUUUUUUCUCCCAACACGUUCUGACUUGUUUUAAAUGAGAAAUCAUUGAAAAUGAAAAUAGGAAUCGAAUAGUGAGAAACCUGAGAAUUUUUUUUCUAAUAGCAAUUUAGGCAGAAAACAACAUGGGGAGUGUGAUUUUGAUAUUUAUAUAAAAAUAUAUAUAUACUCACUUUAAAAUAUAUAUAGCAGCUUACAUGUAUAUAUGUUGAUAUAUGCAGAUAUACAGUAGUCAUAUACACAAAUAUAAUUCAUUCAUUGGUCUUUAAAACCACUCUUGUAAUGAUUUAAAUAGAAUUAUUUUUAGUUUCCCUCUUUCCAUUUAUGAAGUGCUGAAAUAUGUUACUUACUGUAUAUGAUGAUUAUUGUCAACUCACAUGUUAUACUUGGGUUAUCUUGGAAGAAAGCAUAUAUAUUCAAAGGAGCCUUUCCAUUAGCACUCAGUCAUUGCUAGGGCCGAUAUUAAGCUGGCACACACUGGUACAGUUACAAUAUUGAAAUAUUCUGUACUGGAUGCGAAAAGUCCACUUUUUAAGAAAUAUUUGAGACUCAGAGAGACAGAGACAGCCAGAGAAUUUCCAUCCACUGGUUUACUCCCCAAAUGGCCACAACAGUCUGGGCCUGACCAGGAAGUCAGGAACUGGGAUGUUAUCCAGGUCUCUUACAGGACUGGUAGGGAUCCAACUACUGAGCCAUCAUCUGCUGCCACCUAGCUGUGCAAAAGCAGGGAGUGACAGUCAGGGUCUGAGCCAGGGCUUGCACCCAGGCACUGUGCUAUGGGAUGCAGUAACCCAAGGUGAUCUCUCAACUACUUCAUCAAAUGCCUGCCUCAAACUCUACUUUUCACCUGUCUGAUGAUCCUUUACCAUCCGGGCUGCCACCUUUCCCCUCUUCCUAUGCCCCAGUAGCACAAAAUAAACUACAGUGUUCCAUGGUACAGCAAAGCCUGUAGAACUCUUAUCCAAUGUUUUGACUGGCUGCCUGUUGUCUGUACUGUAUCAGCUGUUAACAGUUUUAAAGAUCAUCCCUGCUUGUUAUGAUUAAAACUAAAGGAGAAUGCUUAAGAACACAAUUAUAUGUGCUUCACAUUUUAUAAUGUGUUGUGAAGGUGAGCAAACAUUAUUUGGCUGUUUCAUGAUUCAUUUUUUUUAAUACUGGCAUUAUCCUAAUGGUAUCCAAUUGUUUUCUUUUAAAUGACCAGAGAUAUCUUCUGCAGGCCAAAUAGCAUAUUACACAUCUGUCAAAACCAUACUCUAUUACCAUAGAACUGUGUUUACCAAGCUUUUCCAAAUCCAUUUGGAUCAUUCUGGCUGCUGGCUGUACGUUCAUUUACAUCUUUGAUAUGUUUCUAUUUUUUCCAGUCAUUUAUAUAAAUGAGAAUGUACUAGAGUGAAUAUCUUAGCCCUUUGAGCCCUAGACUAAAUUUCAAGGUUGGUAAUAGAUUCUGUUCUUCAUUUCAGUUUGGCAGCAAAGUUAAGCUUGAAGCAAGAUACUGAAAAUAAAAUAUUUCUGGUGAAAAUGCUGUAUUUAUGAAAUCAGUAAUAUGAAGAAUUAAAUUAUGUUCUCCCCCAAAUCAUGUUGAAACUCCAUCUUACAUGUGAUGAUAUUUGAAGAAAAUUUCAUUUGUUUUUUAAAUUUAAUGUUUAUUAGAGAGCUCCCAUCUGCUGGUUCAUUUCCCAAAUGCCUGCAAGGGCCAGUUCUGGGCCAAUGCUAAAGCUAGAAGUUGGGAAGUCAAUCUAGGUGUCCCACAUAAGUAGCAGCAGCUCAGUUACUUGAGACAUCAGUGAUGCCCUGUAGGGUCUGCCUUAGCCAGAAUCUGGGCUCAGCAGGCGGAAUUGGGAACUGAACCAGGUGCUCUGAUAUAGCAUGUGGACAUCUUAAAUGCUUGGCUACACACCCGUUCCUGAAAAAAAAAUUAAAUUUAGUUAAGGUCAUGAAAGUGUAGCCUUUGUGGGAGCAAUAGUGCUCUUCUAAGAGAGAGAGAUUCCAACAAAGAGGCCAUGCAAGCACACAGCAAGAUGGCCGCUACCUGCAAGCCCAGGGAAGGGACCAUAGAAACUUACCUGAUGUUUGCCUGAGCUUGGAUUUCUCAGGUGCAGAACUGUAAGAAAUAAAUUAUGACCAUAGUCGAAGGUGCCCAGUCUGUGGUUUUGUUGUAGCACAAGGAGACUAGUACAAGUGAUAACUAUGGUGUGUUCUGAUGAUAUUUAGACACUUUGCCUUGAGAUUGUUGUUGGGUACACCAAGUAUUCACUGAGCAAUCACAGAAUGCAUAGAGAUGGUUUUUUGUUUGUUUGUUUGUUUGCUUAUUUUUUAGGUUUUUGGAUUGACUUUUAAAUGGAUGAAAACAUGAUGAUCCUAGAACGUUAGGGAUUUAUGAGACUCUUCAUAUUCCUGCCCACAAAUGCAGUUUACAGAGCAAGUGUUAAAAUACUAAAACCAUCCACCCUAUGGUGGUUUGGUACCAAAAAGAACCCCCAGCCGUGUGAUCGCCCACAGCCCAUGGGGACUUGCCCAGAUAGCACCUGGCAGCAUUAUCCACUUCCGCUUCUGGUGGACGUGGGGUGGGCACUCAGAUUUAUCCUAUUUGAAAGGUUUGGAAUCUGAAGGUUCAAGAAAUGGUAAGGCUGGGAAGGACUUUCAGGAUAGAAGAAUGUGUGUAUUUGAAGAAGCCCCUCUCAAAAUGAGAAUUCACAGGUAAUUUAAGGUUCUAUUUGCUUAUUUAUUUGUUAUUUUUAAAGAAAUUAUGACAAGGUUAAGGUGAACAGAGAAGGUCGAAUCACAGAAUUACUAAAAAGCGAAUCAUCCUCUCUGACUAUUUGUAUUAGACAGAGUGGCUGGGGAAUAUACAUAAUAACAAUGAUAAAGCAGGAGAUUCUUUACAUUUAGAAAGUAUGGAGAGAAUUUUAUUUCCUUAAAAACUAAGGAUAUCUCAAUAAGAGAAAAAACACAGAAACAUUAUUUUUGCUAUAAAUUGUGUAAAAUAAAUUCUAGAAUCAUGAAAAUCAAUGGAUAAGUUGUGAAUAAGGAGUGAUGGUCAGUAACUGAGAAUUAAGUAUAAAAAAGGCAAAAUUAUCCAAGAAUCCAAGUUAUCACAUAGUACUUACAGCUGAAGAGCAACACCAAAACUUCAGUCAAUUAAAGUAAUAUAAACAAGUGGUCUUCCAAAAGUUCAUGGGGAGACAGAGUUACAAGAUAAGUUUAUUUUGGUGCAAAAAGUUUUUGAAAUCCAUGCGUAGUUUGUCCAUUAUAUGCAUUUUCCAUGAACUUUUUGAAGACCCUUUGUAACUCAUUCUCUAGAGAAAUAUAAAUCCCUGAGAAUAAUUGAUUUUGUUAUAAAAAUAGAAACAAGUUCACUUAAGAAUAACAUUUACAUUUCACACAAAUCCAUUACUUGUUCUCAUUACACUUCCCUCAAGAAAGGACCUGCAGUGUCCUAUUAAGAAUUAAAUUCUGGUUGGUGCCGCAGCUCAAUAAGCUAAUCCUCUGCCUUGCGGUGCCAGCACACCGGGUUCUAGUCCCGGUUGGGGUGCCGGAUUCUGUCCCGGUUGCCCCUCUUCCAGGCCAGCCCUCUGCUGUGGCCCGGGAGUGCAGUGGAGGAUGGCCCAAGUACUUGGGCCCUGCACCCGCAUGGGAGACCAGGAGAAGAAACUGGCUCCUGGCUUCGGAUCAGCACGAUGCGCCUUCCGCAGCGCGCUGGCCACGGUGGCCAUUGGAGGGUGAACCAACGGCAAAAGGAAGACCUUCCUCUCUGUCUCUCUCUCACUGUCUACUCUGCCUGUCCAAAAAAAAAAAAAAAAAAAAAAAUUGAAUUCAGCAAGAAAAAUAAGAACAUGAUUAGUUUAUGACCAUUUGACAAGAUGAAUUCAUGAAAAAAAUUUAAAACAAAUUUUUAAACUCUAAUGUAAGAGUCCAAAUGUGAGGGUAAGAUAGAGGACACUUAAUAUAAUCUGAGAGCAAUGGAGAUGGCAAGACAUAUUACACUUUUACUGUGCAGAAAUUAAUCAGAGCCAUCUGAGAGUUAAAUAUGAAUUCAAACUAUAAGCCAUCGGAUCAAUAUUAAUCUUCAAAUCUAAGAAAAUAUGUUCUUUGAACUUGAAACAAUGAAACUUCAUAGUCUUAUCAUUUCUUUGGGACAAAUGUCUGGGCACAGUGUGACUGCUAAGGGUUUCACAAGGUCAACAUGCAGGUUUCAGCAGGGCGUGUACUUCCAGGAGUCUUUGGGAGGAAGCCUUUCUAGGUCCUUCAGGUGUUUCGCUGGAGUCAGCUCCUGUGACUGAGGCCCUGUUUCCUCGUUGGCUGUAAAUCAGGGAUGGUUUGCGUUUCUAGAGGCUGUCCGCAUUCCCAGCUCCCUUUCUCAGUCUUCAUCACCAGUGUAGCAGGUGGAAGAUUGCUGGCCUCCCAUUCUGCCUCAGCUCUUCUCUGUUCUCCAUUUUUGUCUCACAUACGGGACACCAUUGAGAAAAUUCCUGGCUUUUAAAGAUUUGUGUGAUUAGAUUGACCCCUGUAUGUAAUCCUGGCAGAUAAUCUCCCUACUAUGAAUUGUGGCCAGUUGAUUAGUAACUUAAAUUCCAUAUUAAAACUCCCUUCAUAGCAGCGUUUGAAUAACUAGAAAAUGGGAAUCUUAUGGGGAUCAUUUUUAGGAUAUUGUUUACCACACAUGCCCUGCCUAAUCUUGUCUACUUGAUAACUGACUGGUCCAGCAAGGACAGCAAAUGUUCUAGAAUGCCACAUCCAUGAAUAGGUGACAUGAAGUUGUGACUUCUCUACUGUUCAUAAAUUCCAUCUGGUAUUGAUGAGGCCAACUGCCAUACUUUAGAGGCUCAAGUGGGAAAGAACUCAAGGUAGCCUCUGGCCUACAACCAGCAGAGAAUUGAAGUCCUUAGUCCAAUAUCCUGUAAUGAACUAAUUCUUGACACUCAGUCCAAUAUCCUGUAUAGAACUAAUUCUUGACAGCGACGUGGAGACUGGAAAUGAAUGAUUUGCCAUCCCUGGCCAACACAUUGUUGCAGCUUUUAGAGAGUUCUUGAAGAAGACAGAGUAAGCUAUGCCAGAACCCCUGACAAACAAUAUCUGUUCAAUAAUAAAUGCAUAUUUUUCUAAAUCAGUAAAUUGCUAGUAAUUUGUUAUGCAAAAAACAAAAAUCCAUUUUCUUCAGAGAUUAUUCUGUUUACCAUUAUGCUGCACUUCCGGUAUAAAAUGUAGUUCAGUCCACAGAGGUGUAAACAGCUUUUUCUUCCUCUAUUUUCUACAGUAAAACUCACUGACUAGUGAAUUCAGUGAAUCUUAAAGGAUAUUAUAGGUAAUGUGUGUGUCUUCUGGCUUACGUGGUUGAGUGUAUGGCAUUUAACUAAGAUCAGGAAAAUAGGGAGACUAACUGGUUUUUCAGGUUGAUGUUGCAGCUAGUGAAGAACAAUUUUCCAUUAGGACUGUUGAGAGGCUGUGGGCCUGUAGGUACUUAGUAGGCAAUUGAAACCAUGGUACAAGUCAGGAACUUGAAAAAAUAUUAGAGUUGUAGCUUUAGAUUUGGAGUGUGUCAGUGGUGUCAAUGUUAAAGCAAUGCAUGAUGGAGCAGGGACAUAAGCCUCAGUUAUUUUAGCUCCUUGCCUGGAAACAGAUAGAAUUCCUUGAAGGACCCUUUUGGCCCUGCUUUCUUUCAAGAGACUAGCUGCAGCUCCAAGCCCUGUAUUGUUCUCUAUUCCACCCCCUGCAUUUUUUUCCCAAAAAAACUGGCCACAGAGAGGAAGGCUGAAAAGCCUCAGAAGAGCUGGCUCAGCCAUACCCCAGUCCCCAUGGCCCUUACCUGGCUUAUGCUAUAUAAACCCAGCCCAUAACUAAAUUCCUGUUCAGUCUGAGUGAACGCUGGCAGUUGGCCAGCUCUACAAAUUUUAUUUUUCCACUCAAAUAAAUUUAUCUUGGCUUUGAGUCCAUAUCUUAUUUCCCCUCUGUUAUUCUCCUUCUUUCCUUACAAUGCAUGUGUUUUAAAUCUUUCAGAAAUGUGUUCAGAGACAAAGAUGGAUAAACUUUUAAUUCAGUAGAAUAACAACAUAUGAGAAAAAAAAAAACAAAAAAAUAAGAGGAAAUAACAAGACUGAGACUGCGUGUUGAUACAGAUAAAGGGAGCAUCAGGAAAGAAUGGCCAAGGAUUGAAAAAAGAGAAAUUGUCAAGAAACUGUCUACUGGGGUUAGAUGAAACCUCAUGCUGGUUUUGAUUUUCAUUUAUCUGAUGGUUAGUGAUCCUGAUCAUGUUUUCAAGUAUCUGUUGGCCAUUUGGAUUUUCUCUUUUGAAAAGUGCCUGUUCAAGCCUUUGCCCAUUUAAUAAUUGAAUUGUUUUUAUUGUUGAGUUUCUUGAGAUCUUUAUAGAUUUGGGAUAUUAAUCCUUUAACAGUUGCAUAGUUUGCAGUUAUUUCCCCUUAUUCUGUUGGUUGCCUCUUCAUUUUUCUGAGUGUUUCUUUUGCAGUGCAGAUGCUUCUCAGCUUGAUGGAAUCUCAUUGGUCAUUUUGGCAUUGAUUACCUGUUAUUCUGGGGUCUUUUCAAAAAGGCUUUGCCCAUGCCAAUGUCUUACAGAGUUUCCACAAUGUUCUCUAGUAAUUUGAUGGUAUCAGGUUUUAUAUUUAGAUCUUUGAUCCAUUUUGAGUUGAUUUUUGUAUAAGGUAUAAGGUAGGGGUCUUGUUUCAUACUUUUGCAUGCAGCACCAUUCAUUGGAGAGACUGUCCUUGCUCCAGGGAUUAAUUUUUAGCUCUUUAUCAAAAAUAAGUUGAUUGUACAUGUAUAGACUGAUUUCUGAAGUUUCUAUUCUGUUCCAUUGGUCUACAUGUCUUUUUAUUUAUUCAUUUUGCCUGUACCAGGUUGUUUUGAUUAUAACUGCCCUGUAGUAUGUCUGACAACUGGUAUUGUCAUGUCUCCACCUUUGUUUAUUUUGUACAAGAUUGCCUAGCUUUUCGGGGUUUCUUGUGUUUCUAUAUGAAUUUUAGCAUCAUUUUUUCUAGAUCUGAGAACAAUGAGUUCCAGUUGCUUAUUAGUGGAGUGUUUUGGUUCCCCUAUAUAUAGAUCAUCUCAUCUGCAAACCGAGAUAAUUUGACUUUCUCUUUCCAAUUUGUAUUCCUUUGAUUUAUUUUUCUUGUCUAAUGGCUCUGACUGAAACUUCCAGGAUUAUAUUGAAUAUCAGUGGUGAAAGUGUUCAUUCUUGUGUCGUUUUGGAUCUUAUUGGAAAUGCUUCCAACUCUUCUCUAUCCAAUAAGAUCUUGGCUGUGGGUUGGUUAUAUAUUGUAUUGAUAUGUUACAGACACAGGGCUCCUGUAGUCAUGGGGUCCAAAGGAUCCACUCUGCCCCACUAGCCUGUCCUGUCCAUGGAGAGGCUGAGAUGUUCCCAGAGCCAGCUGCUUAUGGGUGCUCCACCCCUAAGUCAUUUGUGGGUCCCCGGCCCACAUCAGUCCUCCCAGCCACAAAGACACAAAGUCAGUGGGGUACAUGGAGUUUUCCCUCUGGUAUAAUCCCUGGAUCACAGGAGUAUACAAAAGCCCUACUCAUUUCACAAUUGGUCUUUCCCCCUCCAGAUGCCAGGCACAUAGAAGAUUCUCUGCAGCUGGUACUGAUGUCAGAAUGGCUCUGCCUCUGACCCAUUGCUGGGUAUGAGCACACACAGCCGAGCUGCUGCGGCUUCUGCUGCUGGCAAAGUGACAGUCUUUCCCUUGCCAGUUGCUGGGCCUGCACAGAAGAACUGUGCAGUUACUACCUACUUUUGUCCAACAUGGUGCCCACCCUCUCAGCUGGUUGCCAGGCACUGUUGUGAGGGCGGAUGAGGAGCGAUAACCAUGCCCCUCCUUUCUUUGCUGGGUUAGCAGGCACCCUGUUCCCUUCAGGACUCCAGGCUAGAUUCAAAGAUAAUGCAGUCUGCUAGGCUCUCCUCCUGGCAGUAUCACCAGCAGCAUGGGCUGCUGCAGUCUGAUUUCACCUUGCUCUACAAAGCUGGCGCUUUCUUCAGCUCUGGGCAGCUGAGGUCGUGAACUGUGUCGGUGUUUGUUGCUGCGUGUCUGCACCUUCCACACCUGUCCACACACCUCUCCUUCUUCCACAGAAUCUCCACUGUAGUUUCCCCAUCCAGCUCUGCCCUGACAAUGCCGUUUUUCCACUUUUUUUUUUAACUAUUUUCCUCUAGCCUAGACCAGUCUGCUCUUUCCCUAUUCCACCAUCUUGGAAUCUUACAGUGGUCAAUUAAAUUGAGGUUAAGAAUUAGCAGAGAGCAAGGAACGGCUUCCAGGGUCUUCCUUGAAAACAUAGGAUAAAUACAGAAACCUGAUGCAUCCAUGGAAGUGGCAGUUAGGAAAUGAGUUCUGUCAGUGUCAUAUCCUGUAGUCCCUACUCAGACAAUCCUCCCCUGAGAAUUUCAGAACACCCAAGAUCUUGUUUGUAAUUCUGCAGUAGAUAUCUCCACAAUGAUUUAUGGUUAUAGAAAAACAUUUGUGGAGUAUUGAUUUCUUGGACAGCUUUUAAUUUAGAGGAUUGUUAUUGACUCUUGAUUUAAGAUUUUUAAAAUAGGCAAACUAUAGGAAGACUGUUUCAACAACAGGUACAGGAAAAGGAAAGAAAAAUAGGCUUUAUUAUCCUGGCUUAAGAUGGUUCAGCCAAGGGAAAAGUAGGCUGCUUGGAAAAUUUGAUGUCUUCCAAAAGGACAAUUUUUGUUAGAGUAGUGAAACUUUAUGAUUCUUAAUAAAAUCUAAAUUUUUUGUUUUAAAUCAUUUCAUAUUAAUAACCAUUUAUUUAAAAUUUUUUAAAAGAUUUGAUUUAUUUGAAAGGUAGAGUUACAGACAGAGAGAGGGAGAGACAAAGAGAAAGGUCUUCCAUCCUCUGGUUUACUCCCCAAAUGACUGCAACGGCCGGAGCUGAGCUGAUCUGAAGCCAGGAGCCAGGAGCUUCUCCUGGGUCUCCCACACAGGUACAGGGGUCCAAGCACUUGGAGUAUCCUCUACUGGUUUCCCAAGCCAUAAGCAGAGAGCUAGAUCAGAAGAGGAGCAGCCAGGACACUAAUGGCACCCAUAUUAGGUGCCAGUGAGUCAGGUGGAGGCUUAGCCUAUUAUGCCACAGUGCCAGCCUCUUAAUAACGUUUUUUAUUUCUCCCUGUUCCUUGAAAUGAAACAUGUUCUACUGAGUGAAUUUUCACAUAGGAUUUACUUUCAUCACUAAAUUUACAGUGAAGCAAGAGCACAAAUGAAGCACUGUGUAUAUCUUCUGAGUAUCAGAACUGCACUCUCAGGAUGAAUAAAGCUAGGGAGUUUCAGAGAUCAAUGAGUUUGACAAAAUGCAAAUUAACUGUAUAUUAAUAGCAUUUUUGUUGAUUUUUUGGGGGAAAGCAUGUAUAAUUACUUUGCUUUGAUAUGAGUAUGAUGGUUAGAGUUAUGAACUCCUUUUAAAUUAUUUUUGAACCAUAAGUGGCAAAAUGCAAUAGUUAUGUAAUUAUUAAGAAAAUUCACAUCUUGUUUCCAUGCAGAUAUUUAAUUAAUGUAUACACAUGGGAAUGAAGUUGCCUAAAGAAAGACUUUUUACUAUACUUUCUUAUAGUUGAUUAGGAAAUUCUUAUUGUAAUUAUAAACUAUUGUGUUGUAAUUGAUCAAAAUGGCCAGGUCUUGAAGUGGUUCAGAUGUUGAGAAAGCAGAAAUUACUACGUCUGCUUCAUCAUGGAAUGUCUUGCUGUGCAUUUGUAUAAAUUUAACCAUCACCUGUUGCUGUUUAACUGUAAAUACUUCUAGUUGUGUGUUAUUUAAGGUCUAUAUGUAAGGUUAAGCAAAAUGAGGCAUAUUUCUUAUUUUGCAGGUUUUAUAGUGUUGAUAUCAACUUUAUUAUAAUAAUAAGUAGCAAUGGUAAGAAUAGUAAGUAUCAGUCAUCUUUCUUUAAGGAUAAUUUCCUCUUAUAUAAUGGAGUGGACAGCAUGAUGUUUUGGUUUGGUGUAUUCCAUUGAUAAGGAAAACAUGAUACUUAGUUGAGAAUCCCUUUUCUAAAAACUAAAAGAACUCUACUGAGGGACACUGUAAUUUAAUAUUUAGGCCAGUAAACAGGGAAAGAAGUGGGAGUGAAGCCCUGUCCAUGACUCUUCUCUGCUGGGAUCCUGUCAUUUUCUUUCAUCUCCCUCUCUUGUUCUAGGUCUCUCAGUUCAAAUAGGCUAAUGAUAGCACUGUCUCAGAGAGAUUUUUUAACGCCUGAUGAAAGAAGAAUGUGGAGCAUUGUGCAGAAAUUCUGACACAUAGUAAACCUGCCAUCCAUUCUAUUUAUUAGUGAUUAUUUCCUUAUCACUUUUAUUGUGACAUUUAGUUAGAAAGAUGAGGCUGGAGAAUGUUGGAAGGUGUCAGACUGCUGGGGGUUUAAUAUCCAUGGAGAAAUCACUAAGAAUAAUAGCAGAGAACUAGGGAUGGGGAGGAAUAGUAGUAGUUGGUGUCUAGUUGCAGAAUGCAUUGAGGUACAUAAGUCAGAAGAUUAAAAUAAGCAUUUUGUUAGGGUUUAUUAAUAAAAUUGCUUGCAUACACAAUAAGUAGAAUGUAUAUGAACUGAAUGACAAUUCCAAAUUCAUGAAAAUUUUGUGCUAGCUCCUAUCAGAACAUAGUUGGACACUCUGGGCACCUGCAAGACACUUUAUCCAUGUUCAAUUCCUUCUUCCUUGCAAAAAAAAAUAUGUUUGGGUCUGUGUUUGGAAAAUUUGUAUUCCUUUAACUUUAUCAUUUCCUUUUCUCCACUUCCUGAUUGUCAUUCUAUGAAGAUUACUUUAAAUUUUUUAAUUUAUUAUUUUAUUCAAAAUGGAGAGAGAGAGAGAGAAAGAGAAUAUCUUCCAUCUACUGACUCACUCUCCAAAUGCCCACUGCAUCUUGAAACUCAAUCUGGGUUUCCCAUAGGUGACAAGGACUCAAGUACUGGGGACGUCACCUGCUGCCUCCCAGAGCAUGCAUUAGCAGGAAGCUGCAGUCAGAAGCCAAGCCAGGACUUACACCUGUGCACUGGAGUAUGGGAUGCAGGUGUCACAGAAAGCAAAGAAAUCUAAAUGUUUGAAUGAGUGCCUCUUGGCCACAUGGAUCAAAGCCAAAGGAAAAAAAAAUUAAAGACAUGUUGCUGAGUAGUCCAGCAUUUCAGAAGUACUGCUUGGAGCAGGAAGAUGUCAAUUGACAUUAGGAAAUACACCCUGAGAAUAGUAGGAAAGGCUGACUUCAAAUAAUGUUACACCUCCAUUCCCAUGCAAAAUGUCACAUAGCUAAGACUGACAACGCGAGAUGGUUGCCGGAUUCCUAGUUCUGUGGCCCAAAUGUCUACUUUAGUGUCAUGUGAACUGCGGCUAUACAGUAAACACUGAUGGAUCUGAAUGAUAUGUAUGAGCUGUGAACACCAUGAAAAAUGUAGAAGGAACUUCAGAAUGAUUCCAGGAUUCCAGAAAAUUCCAUGUCAUGUGCAAUCAUAUUAUUGGUUUGUAUGCUGCCAGUGUUUUAAUUUAAAAUUCUUCCUUAUCACAUCACCAAAUUUAUUAUGCUGUAAGACUCAUUAUGGCAUACCUUUGGCCUGAAAUAUUAUAUUUUUGACAGAUUUUACUUUGAUUAUUUAUGUUAUUAAUAGAAGCCCCUAUAUUGGUUUAAACGUCUCUUAUUUAACAAAUGACUUUACUAGUCUGAGCAUACUUUAUCAGCAGUCUUAGGAAGUUCAAGUUUGGUUUUAAGGCAGAGAUUUUAAAAACUAACAAACUUUUCCUUUUAUUUACAACACAGAACCAUGCAAUUAGCCUCCUUUGGGGGCAUUCUGUUUGCAUGGUUACUUAAAAUUCUUAUUCAAUGUUUCUUUCAGAUAUUAUUUUACCUAUCCUGAAAUGGGACAUUUUUUUUUCUUGGCAGUAUUUGUUAUCACUUUAGAUAUAAGCUUACUUUAAAAAGUAUGGAAAAUGGAAUUAAAAGAUAAGUUCAUGCUGAAGCUAAAUAUUCACAAAAUAAAAGUUUUUAUUCCUCAAAAAGUUCAUAGAAAUGUGUAUUAUGAAAUUUUUUGCACCAAAAUAAUCUUUUAAUUCUAUUUUCCCCACACACUUUUUGAAGUAUCCUCAUAUUGAUGGUCCCUGAGCGAGUUCAACUAGAACCAACACUGUGGUAUCACCAACUUGUCAAAUAGAAUAAAUUAGUGAGUUUCACCAUCCACUCAUUAUAUAUUAAUUGAGAUCUUCCAAAUGUGAUAGAUCUUACAAUGUGAUAGAUGCUGUGAACAUAGGAAUAAUCCAGGAAAGUUGUGGCACAUCUUUCUUUUUUCCUUUUUCUUUUUCUUUCUUUCUUUUUUUUUUUUUUUUUUUUUUUUUUUUUGACAGGCAGAGUGGACAGUGAGAGAGAGAGACAGAGAGAAAGGUCUUCCUUUGCCGUUGGUUCACCCCCAGUGGCCACUGCGGCUGGCGCACUGUGGCCGGCUCACCGCGCUGAUCCAACGCUAGCAGCCAGGUGCUUCCUCCUGGUCUCCCAUGGGGUGCAGGGCCCAAGCACUUGGGCCAUCCUCCACUGCCUUCCCAGGCCACAGCAGAGAGCUGGCCUGGAAGAGGGGCAACCGGGACAGACUCCAGCGCCUCGACCAGGACUAGAACCCGGUGUGCCGGCGCCACAAGGCGGAGGAUUAGCCGUGGCCCAUCUUUCUAGACAGCAUUUUUGCCCUUAAAUUGUUCUUGUUCUUGUUCUUGUUAUUUUAUUUAUUUUAAUUUACUUGAAAUGUAGACAGACAAAGACAGAGAAAGGUAUUCCAUUUAUUGGUUCUUUCUCCAAAUACUUACAUCCCCAGGGCUAGGCCAGACUGACUCAAAGAGCCUGAAGGUCAAUUCAAACCUCCCACGCUGUGGCCAGCAUCCAACCUCCUGAGCAAUCAGGGCUUCCUCUGGGAUGUGCAUUAGCAAGAAGCUGGAAUAGAAAUGGAGCUGAGAACCUGAACCUGAACUCUGAUAUGGGAUGCAGGUAUCACCAGAUGUGCCUUAACCACUGGGCCAAACACCCUCCCCAGCAACACGUUUGCUUUUCUUGUUUCUCAUCGUGCAUCUAUUUUAAAGCAUGCCAUUCCAACCCAUAGUUAUUAUACAUUUAUCACAUUAUCAUUAUAAAAAUGCUCACUUAGUUGGAACUAGAGACUUCAGACAUUGAGCAUCUCAUCAGUGAUUUUCCUAUAGACACAUUAUCCACAAUUUAUUUUCCAACAAAAUCUUUAAAGCCAAAAUACCUCCCCUCACAUACACAGAUUCCUUUGUUAACUUCUUUCCCUUUAUCUCAGUGGCAUUUGCUAUCUUUUGUAUGACAUUCCUUCUGCUAGUGGGUCUCCUUCGCUCUCGCCUUCCCUGUCCCUUCUGCUUUUGCCCUUCCUUCCUUAAGUACUCCUAUUCUUCAGUUUCUUCCUUUUAUAAAUAUACUGUGUAGCUCCUGUGAGUUGUAGAUAUAGAGCAUCAAGGAGUUUCUAUACUUUGUCACCUCCUUUGGCCGCACCCCUUUACAGAUAUUAUUAACUUCAUUCUGUUAAUAAAGCACAUGGAACUCAGGGAUUGUCAGCUUCAGAAUAUAAGAAUAACACAUGACAGAAUCAAAUAUAGAUCUCUACAAAAAUCUCCUAGAAAAACAUGCCACCUAGUUGCUUUAAUGCAUGAAAUCGUGUGGAGUUUUGAAAUACUGAGGUUCCUCAAAAGAAGGUUUAUAACCAGGAAUACUUCUUGGAAGUUUCUUCUUGAAAUGUGGUUUGACUCUUAAAAAGAAUUAUUAUUUAAUCAAUUUUCAGAAAUAACUCAUAGCGGUAUAAUUUUUAUUUAAGCUGAAAACUAUUUCUUGAUUAUUUCAAAGAUUCUCACUUGAUUUUAACCUGCAGAGUUAUCUACAAGGACACUUCAGAAAGUUCAUGGAAAAUGGAAAUAAAAGUUUUUGAAAUCCGCAGAUAUGAGGGAGUCUUCAGGAAGUUCCUAAAACAGGGUGGGUGUUUAGCCUACUAGUUAAGAAGCUCACAUUCCGUAUUGGAAUACUGGGGUUCAGUUUCUGGCUCCAGCUCCUGACUUCUGCUCCCUGCUAAUGCAGACCCUGGUGGGAUUCAGUGAUGGUUCAAGUUACUGUGUUCCUGCCCUUCAUGUGGGAGACACUGAUUGAAUCCCAAGCUCCCAGCCUUGGGCUAGCUCAGUCCUGAUGCAGGCAUCUGGGGAGUGAUCUGGUAGAUGGCAAUUCUCCUUUACUUUAUCUGCCCGUCUCUGUGCCUUUCAAAUAAAUUAAUAAUAUUUUAAAAGUUCAUGGAAAAGUGCAUACUAUGAAAAUGUGUGCAUGGAUUUCUUCUCAUAUUUCUCCUUAUGUUACUUAACCAUGAUAUAAAUUAUAUAUGUAAGGAAAUAAACCUCAAAUAUUUUCCUCUUAAAGCAGAAUGGAGAACUAGAAUAUACUUUUUUGAAUAAGAACUAAUAUUCCUUAAGCUUCUGUUUGCUUUUUAUUACAAAUGAUUCAUUAUUUCAACAUUUCAUGAUUAUAUUUCUCAUGACAUUCAUCUGAAUAGCCUGCAAAGUGUUUUUUAGAGUUUAUAUAUAUAAUGAUGGAGUUCACAUAAUUCCACAGAAAUUUAAAUAUUUUUUAAUCUGUAGUUUUCUUGCUAAGUAAAAAAUAUUUAUAUAUUUAAUAUGAUUUUCCCUUUCCCCCCUCUGCUAUAAAUAGGAGAUAAAUCACUUUCUUUUAAUAAUCUGAAGCACUGUCAACUCCUGAGAGUACAUCUGAAUAAUUCCAUUCUUUUAAGGUUACCAAAAAAUCAAUUAUGAUUAAGUUAAUUGUAGAAAGCCUGGAUUUCCAUGUAAAUUAUCAUCCCUCCAGAAGUAUAUAGCAUUAAAUACUGAUAAUUAGAGGUCUGAAGAAGGUCUUAACAAUACACUCUAGGUAAUUGACAUCCCACUUCAAAGGGCUUAGUUCUUGUGAUUAUAAAAUAAAGUAUGUGUUUUAUGAAGUUGGUAAUAAAUAAAAGUUUUUUUUCUUUAAUAGAGAAGAGAUUCCUCCACACAUGAUUGCAAAGCUGUAAUCACCAAAUAUCUCAUUUUAUAGGGAAGUAGUGUUCAUGGUGGGAACUGAGAGAUUUUCCAAAAUACUCUUUGUGGCAGGCAUUAAAAGAUUGAAAGGAAAAAGUCAGAUAUCUAGAUUAGCCAGUGUGGAAGGUGACUCCUGAUCCUUCACGGGCAUUUUCCUUGAGAUGAUGUUGCUAAAGGUCGAAGGAGUUAGUACAGUGGUGGUGCUCACGUCAGACUCUCGGGAAGAGUUCUAUGUAUUAGUAAAGUGUACGUAGCACCUUUCCUACAGUUCAUUGAUCACCAGCUAUUUAUGCUCAAGGAUAUGUGGAGUAAGCAACUUCAGGAGAAAUUGCAAGUAUCUUUUCUGAAAGUAAGCAAACAUGGAUUGUUAUAACUUGUGUUACUCCUAUCUUCGUUUAAUAUAGACAAUUCCAAUGUCUGUCUUAUACUCAGAGUGCCAUUGAGUCUCUCCCCAGUUUGAUUAGAGGUGGAACAAACCAUUAGGAAUAGUGCAAAGAAGUUAUCAAGUAAAAUGAUCUGUAAAGUCCCAUUGUGUACAAAAUGCUUUGAUUCACAUACAUUCUACUAUUUAUAUUAGUUUUAACCUUGGGUACAUUAAACCAACAUUUUUUUUUUCUGAAAAGGCAUGCUAAAAACCAAAUUAUUCUAUUACAGUGUCAAGUAAAUCCAUGCUAUUUAUUUUAGGUGCUCCCCAAGAGAGGCAGUAGAAUACCACAGAAGACAUUUUAAUUCAUUGGCCUAAUCAAAAGCAAUGGAAAGUAGAGGCUGUGUUCCCUGAAAGGUGCCCUGAUAUGUAGGUGGACAAUGAGCUUUAUAGGGCUGGAAUUUUUUGUUGACCAUCAAAAAGUAACCAACAUUAGAAUAUUGAAGGAAAAAAGAAAGAGCUGAAAGAAUCUUUCUAUCUGUUGUUAAAUCUCCCUGAAAGAUUCUCAGUUACUUUUGCCAACAAUGAAUUUCUUAUCAGAAGUGUGCUGCACAAAACCAAGGAGGCUUGGAGGAGUGAAUGGGAUUGAUAUUGGGAAUGACCUCCUAAAAUCUGUGCAAAAAUGUGGCCCUUAAAAUUCCCCAAAAGUGCCACCUGGGAUGUCACAUAUGUUACCAGUAUUUGGGGUACCAUAUGAUAUCACCAUAUGCAUAUUAAUAAAUCCCCAAUAUUAAUAAGCCCGAGAGGGUUCUUGCCUAAUAUUUAGAGAAGAAUUCUAAAUACCAGCAUAAAUAAAUGAGGCAGCAUGGUACAUUUUAGGCUUUUAUUUAGUGUGAAAGAUGCAUAGGAGAGUGAGAGCUUUAUCUAAGAGCAGUUAAUCUGGGUUCAUACCAAGCACCCGGAACCAGCCACAUGGAGGAGCAUCUAGGCCAGGAAGAUAGGGUGGGUGGCUCGAAAGCCACGUGGUCUGGAGGCGCAGGGCUACAGCAAGCCCUCUCCUGGCAAGAGACCAGGGAAAGGGAGAGAAGGGCCAGACACACCACGUCCCAGGCUUUUAACUCACUUCCAAAGGGGAGUGGUUAAUUAACCUGAUUGGCUAGUGGGCACCCAGGUGAGGCCAGGUAGGGGCAUGAGGUCACACGGGGGUGUGGUGAAGGCGUGGUCUUCCAGCUCACAAAUCUAAUCAAUUUUAACCUGUAUGCCUACCUACUUCAGGAUGAAAAUGGCAUUUGUGUUAUCUGACGUGGGUAGAAAAUUAUUCUCUUGCACAGACAAGUGAAACGACAGAGAGAAAAUUGUGGGGAAAGAGGAAGGAAUAAAGUAAUUUGGCCUCUGGGUGGUUUUUUUUUAUUUUUACUUAUUUUUAUUUUUUUCAAAAGGGAGAGUUUUCUUGCUUUAGGUGCAUCAAGAGCAGCUGCUUUCUAGUUUAUGGUCUCCAGAAGGUAAUGUAGGACCCCAAAAGCGGUGUCCUUUUGUGACGACCCCAGAAACACAGACUCCAGACCAGACGAUGCAAAAGGCAGGAGGCAGUUUUAUUUCAUUUGCGCAAAUGGGCCCUCUACUUGCUGCCGCAAGCAGCGGGGGCAGAGAGGAGCCCUGAACAAUCAUUUUACACAGUUUUUAAAGGGCAAAACCACAAAAUUAACAUACUAUAGGGUGGCGUAAGUUUAUUGGACAACUACAAGGGGAGGAGGUCGUCGAGGAGGAGGAGAAACAGGGGGCUACGUGCCCUACAUGUCUAAGCUUGGAUAUGGGGAGGGGGUCCUUGAAGAACAGAAAGGGGUGGCUACGUGCCCUACGUGCCUCGCGGUUUCUUUGUUAAGCUUGAACAAGCACAGGGGAGGGGGCUUAGGUGUGUACCAGGAUGUUCUGUCGCCCUUAUCUCUGGGUAGUAGCCCUUAUCUCUGGGUAGUAGCUAUCUGCCUUCUCUGUGAACUUAGUUUACUCCCCAUUUCCCAGGACUGUUUUAUUAAGGCCAUUCUUAUGGCGGCUCUUGGCUCUCGGCCGUUCCUUUCAGUAAGAAGUGAUGGUAUUACAGGCUGGCACUCAGAAAGGGAAACUAAUUCCCACGAAAGGGUGAAGAUAGUCGACUGAGGAAUGUCUGUUUUGUAAUGAUGGGAUGUUCAUGGUUACUAGCUUACUGGUGUUGCAAUAACAAAUCACCAUACAAUGGGUAACUUAAAACAACAGAUACAUACAAUUUAAUCUUUAGACCAUAUGAAAUGGAUGGCUGACACUUUUCUAUAAUAACAGCAGAACCAAAAUGAGAGUUUAAAUUAUGAUUUCAUGGCUAGAUUUACUUUGCCAUGGGCACAGUAACAGGCAAAGACCUCCCUUUCAGACCAAAUGGAGAGAAAGUUUUAAAGUGAGGACAUAGCUUUCCUCAUGCGCGUUGUCUACCUCAGAGAAAACCACUAUCAGAACAUGUCUGUGACUAUGGAUUUCUAGUUUAGGCGACCAAAGAUUAGGGACGGAGCUGCCCCUUGACUUGCAUCCUCUUCCUCUGGUCUGCUUUAACAAAAACCAGGAGGAAGAGGAAGCUAGGCAGCAGAAACAAUGUAAAGAUAGGUGGCAGGCCAAUUCAUGGCUGUUUACGCAGUGAUCUGCCAUCAAGGAGACCCAACAGACCAGCCCACUGCAUCGAUUUUGGAUGUGGAAAGCCAGAGCGUCUGCGGAACUCACCUUAUAAAGAGCCCUGGCAGCUCUGCCAGCCAGGAGUUGGGUCACUGGAAACUAAACUGCCCUGGAGUCGAAGGGCACUGUGUCCCCCUGGAGAAGCUGCCUCCUGCUGGACCCUAUCAUGACUGCUAUUCCCAACCACACCCCUUUUCAGCAUGAAGCAGCCAGAGUGAACAUCACCUAGUCCCCCUAACAGUUGUUAGAGUCCAUUCUUCUUUAGGGGGUUAUGUGAGGAGUCAGAUGGGUUAAUAGGCACAGUGUAGUCCCAGUGGAAAUUCGGGGUGUAGAGUACUUGCUUCCCACCAAAAGUUUACCUUUAGCAAGAUCAAAACAUCCACCCAUUCUACCUUAGGAAUCUCCAAAUUUAGCAUGGGAAUAGCAAGGGAGUAGUGAUUUCACCCUCCUGAGCUCACAGUUUAUUGUGAAAACAAGUUACCCACCCCACCCUUCCAGAUGGUUUUUGUUCUAUCCUGUGCAAGCCAGACAGGAUAAAGGAUUGUAAAUCAGGUCUUUUGUUGAGUUUGUCCUUACCUUGAUUGAGUUUCUUCACUAAAAUUGUUUUUUCCUCUCUUGGAAGCCCCCCUCUAUGCUGCUCUGGCUGAAGGUCUUAGACUCUAAUAAAUAUUGUUUUUUUAAAUCUAAAAAUAAAUAAAUAAAUAAACUCAGAUAUUUGUUCUGUCAUGUGGCUCAAGGCCAGAGCCUAAAGUUGAUACACACCCUCCAUGUCUCUGCCUCUCAAAUACAUAAAAAAAUAAUUUUUAAAAAGUUUAGAGCAAGAAGCUAGCAGGUGCAUUCUUUCUGAAGGCUCUGAGGAGGAGUCUGUCCCAUGCCUUGGGGUUGCAGGAAAUCCUGGGCUCCCCUUGCCUUAUGGUGCCAUCUCUAAUGUCUUUAUCCUCGAAUGGCCUUUCCUGUGUGUGAUUUCAUAUGACUUUCUUUGUGGGUAUCUGUUCUUCUGGAUUCUCUAUUAGAGAUGCUGGAUUUAUGGGCCACCCUAGUAGAGUGUGAUCGCGUGUGAAAUUAACUGAUAAUAUCUGUAAAGACCCUGUUUCUAAAAAAGUUCACACUCUGAGAUUCCACGUAGAAAGAUAUUUUUUUCAGUGGAUGUGCAAAUAGGUUUUUCAGGUCUGAGGUUGUCCAGAAAUUCAUUUCCAUUUGCAGCAUGAUCCUUUAUUAUGCACUGUAUGUGCCAAGUGGUAUAUUUCUGAUAUUUAAGUAUCUUCAUAAUCUACAACCAUUUUCUGUAUCUUAGGGAUUCCUUGAAAGAGUAGAAAGAUGAGAGACUCUAUGGUUUUAAUAACCUGGCAGAGAAUUCAUAAAAAACUCACAGAUACUGGUUUUGUAUCUCCAAUAUUGUUAAGAGAAUACUUUUGUUUCUGUACCGGGGCACUUUUCUGAUGAAAUAAGGAAAAAUAAGUUUUCUUGCACUAUGUUGGGCAUCACUGUAUAGCAAUGGUAUAAACACUUCACAAUUGCUCCUUCCUUAAAAUUGAAAAUGAACACGUGUUGUCUUCUUGAUGUCAUGCAGAAUGGUAGUUGAGAAAAAAUUGUCUUUUCAGGGUGUAAGGGACUUCUGGAUGCUGUUUGUAUCUACCUGGGCCACAUGAUGUAUUCUAUCUGAUGGAAUGUGUUGAAGUCUUUUAAAAAUGUACAUGCCCUCUACAUGUACUGCUUUCUUAUUUAUUCAUUGCCUUCAUGCAGAAGAUGGUGAUGAAUACUUAAGAAAAGUGCUAAACAUGGUGGACACAUAAGAUCCAAUGAAUCCAUGCCCCAGACUUAACACCAUAAAGUGAGAUGCCCAUUAAUUAUGAAAUAAGCUGUUAUCAUGAUUGAUGCACUAUAUGUACAUCCAAAUUUUGUUGGAUAAUACAACAUAAAGAUAACAUAAAGACAUAUUCACAAAGAAUGGUUGUUUUACAUUAUAAUACAAUCCAAUGCCUUACUGUGAUGAAAGCCAAUCCUUAUUGCAAUCAUAGAAUUUAUAGUUUUACACAAAGCAGUAUGAAAAUUUCUCCAAAAUUCUCGUUUGAAAGCAUAUUUUUGAAAAAUCCUGUAGAUCAAUUUGUUUGCAAAAGCCCAAGCCAUUUGGAGGGCUGCCAUAUGACACAACUGAAACAGAAUUAUAAUUUCAAGACUUCUUUCUCUAUGAUGAGAAGUGAUUAUUUAUUUAUUUAUUUAUUUGACAGGCAGAGUGGACAGUGAGAGAGAGAGACAGAGAGAAAGGUC